AUUGAACGCUGGCGGCAGGCUUAACACAUGCAAGUCGAGCGCGCGGCGGACGGGUGAGUAAUGUCUGGGAAACUUCCCGAUGGCGGGGGAUAACUACUGGAAACGGUAGCUAAUACCGCAUACCAUCAGAUGUGCCCAGAUGGGAUUAGCUAGUUGGGGGGGUAAUGGCGCACCAAGACGACGAUCCCUAGCUGGUCUGAGAGGAUGACCAGCCACACUGGAACUGAGACACGGUCCAGACUCCUACGGGAGGCAGCAGUGGGGAAUAUUGCACAAUGGGCGCAAGCCUGAUGCAGCCAUGCCGCGUGUGUGAAGAAGGCCUUCGGGUUGUAAAGCACUUUCAGCGAGGAGGCGUUACUCGCAGAAGAAGCACCGGCUAACUCCGUGCCAGCAGCCGCGGUAAUAC
rnacentral:rRNA from 1 species